rnacentral:rRNA from 1 species
ACUCCUACGGGAGGCAGCAGUGGGGAAUAUUGCACAAUGGGCGAAAGCCUGAUGCAGCGACGCCGCGUGAGGGACGACGGCCUUCGGUUGUAAACCUCUUUCAGUAGGGAACAAGGCAUCAUUUUUGUUGGUGUUGAGGGUACUUGCAGAAGAAGCACCGGCUAACUACGUGCCAGCAGCCGCGGUAAUACGUAGGGGUGCAAGCGUUAUCCGGAAUUAUUGGGCGUAAAGAGCUCGUAGGCGGUUUGUCGCGUCUGUCGUGAAAGUCCGGGGCUCAACUCCGGAUCUGCGGUGGGUACGGGCAGGACUAGAGUGAUGUAGGGAGGACUGGAAUUCCUGGUGUAGCGGUGGAAUGCGCAGAU